AUGUGCCUCCUAUUCUGGGCAUUGCUCUUGAGGCUUGUUGAGGUGAAACAUCCUUGCAACAAAGUACACUGCCUCUCUUCUGUAUUUGGGAAACAGCUACAACAGUGCUGGAAAAGUUUGCAUCUUAGGAUGACCUGAAGAAGGAAUAGCCAGGACAGGUAUUAAAUUUCUGAAUUAAUAUGAACAUCCAUAUGAUAGCAACAUUAGUGCUGGCAUUCUUAAAUAGAGAAGAAAUAAAAUUAGAUUGAGCCUAUAAGGACA
rnacentral:lncRNA from 1 species